CAGGAUGAAACGCUAGCUACAAGGCUUAACACAUGCAAGUCGAGGGGCAGCAUUGGAGUAGCAAUACUUCAGAUGGCGACCGGCGCACGGGUGAGUAACACGUAUCCAACCUGCCGCUUACUCGGGGAUAGCCUUUCGAAAGAAAGAUUAAUACCCGAUGGUAUAAAGAGUUCGCAUGUUCUCUUUAUUAAAGAAUUUCGGUAAGCGAUGGGGAUGCGUUCCAUUAGAUAGUUGACGGGGUAACGGCCCACCAAGUCUACGAUGGAUAGGGGUUCUGAGAGGAAGGUCCCCCACAUUGGAACUGAGACACGGUCCAAACUCCUACGGGAGGCAGCAGUGAGGAAUAUUGGUCAAUGGACGAGAGUCUGAACCAGCCAAAAGUAGCGUGAAGGAUGACUGCCCUAUGGGUUGUAAACUUCUUUUAUAAGGGAAUAAAGUGAGGGACGUGUCCCUUUUUGUAUGUACCUUAUGAAUAAGGAUCGGCUAACUCCGUGCCAGCCGCGGC
rnacentral:rRNA from 1 species